rnacentral:ncRNA from 2 species
UGCGCCGUGGCGGGAGAGUCCCGCCAGCCAUCGCUGAGCGGGCGCCGAAGGAGCAACUCCUCCCCAGGAAUCUCUCAGGCACCCGGUACCGCCGCGGCAAG